ensembl:lncRNA
CCGGUAUACUGGCCCCUCCGCCCCCUCCGCCCAAGUGGGAAAGUCGACCAGAGGUUGCCCCCGCGGGUGCCCAGCGCCAGGCUCUGGGACGCACGCAUUCGGACCGCGCCCACGUGGAGGUCCAGCCUGGAUGCCCCUCCCACGGAUAGGGGGAGAUGGCACUUAAGCGCAGGCAGACAUCCCUCCUCUGGAGUCCUGGCGCCCCUGGCCUGCCCCGGCGUCCUAGCGGGGCUCACCCGCACCAAGCCCGCCCGCGCGAUCCCGUCUGCGCCCAGGCGGUGCGCCAGGUGCCUCGGAUUCCCGGGACGGAUCUAGCGGGCCUGCUAGGGAGAGAGUUGGAGGAGGAGGGGGAAAAGGCUGCCCACUGCAGGACAGCGCGCCCGGGGGUCGCUGGGCAAAUCCAGACCACAACCGGGUACGCUCCAGACGAGUUUGCUGGCUUGGUGCCCGGCCUGGGCUGGCGUCCCCGGCCAUAGGGUGCUAAACUUCUGAAUGAAAUGUAGACAUCUAGAAAAGUGCACACAUGCCCCCAGCUGUGGAAGACAAAUGCCGCCGCCUAGGGUGAUGUCACCAGCUCGGCCACACCCAGGUCCCAGCCAGGGCUCCGUUACAAGAGGAAGCCUCUCCCCAACCUGCUUACAAUCCGAGGUCACCUGCCAGCUGUGUGCGUGGAGCUGUUUUCCAUCAGGGCUGGCGUGUCUGGUCCCCUUCCUCCCUUCAACUCUGGAUGUGCCAGGGUUUCUAGGUGCUCCCAAAGGGCCCUUCUGGCC